rnacentral:tRNA from 1 species
GCCUGGGUGGCUCAGUCGGUUGAGUGUCUGACUUCGGCUCAGGUCAUGAUAUCGCGGUUUGUGGGUUCGAGCCCCGCGAUGGGCU